AGUGAACGCUGGCGGCGUGCUUAACACAUGCAAGUCGAACGAGAACGGAUUAUAGCUUGCUAUAAUUGUCAGCUAAGUGGCGCACGGGUGAGUAAUGUAUAGGUAAUAUGCCUCUUACUAAGGGAUAACAAAUGGAAACGUUUGCUAACACCUUAUACUCCUUAUUAACAGAAGUUAAUAAGGGAAAGAUUUAUUGGUAAGAGAUUAGCCUGUAUUGUAUCAGUUAGUUGGUGGGGUAAUGGCUUACCAAGACUAUGACACAUAACUGGUUUGAGAGGAUGAUCAGUCACACUGGAGCUGAGACACGGUCCAGACUCCUACGGGAGGCAGCAGUGGGGAAUAUUGCACAAUGGACGAAAGUCUGAUGCAGCAACGCCGCGUGGAGGAUGACACAUUUCGGUGCGUAAACUCCUUUUAUAUGAGAAGAUAAUGACGGUAUUAUAUGAAUAAGCACCGGCUAACUCCGUGCCAGCCGCCGCGGUAAAAC
rnacentral:rRNA from 1 species